GCAGGCGUGAGGGAACGGCAUACCUAGCGAGCUCAAACCUCGCUGCUUACUGGUUCGAAUCCAGUCGCCUGUA
rnacentral:tRNA from 1 species